GAGUUUGAUCAUGGCUCAGGAUGAACGCUAGCGGCAGGCUUAACACAUGCAAGUCGAGGGGUAGUAUAGCAAUAUAUGAGACCGGCGCACGGGUGCGUAACGCGUAUGCAAUCUACCUUUUACAGGGGAAUAGCCCAGAGAAAUUUGGAUUAAUGCCCCAUGGUAUAAUUGAUUGGCAUCAAUUAAUUAUUAAAGUUCCAACGGUAAAAGAUGAGCAUGCGUCCCAUUAGCUAGUUGGUAUGGUAACGGCAUACCAAGGCGAUGAUGGGUAGGGGUCCUGAGAGGGAGAUCCCCCACACUGGUACUGAGACACGGACCAGACUCCUACGGGAGGCAGCAGUGAGGAAUAUUGGACAAUGGGCGCAAGCCUGAUCCAGCCAUGCCGCGUGCAGGAAGAAGCAUCUAUGGUGUGUAAACUGCUUUUAUACAGGAAGAAACACUCCCUCGUGAGGGAGCUUGACGGUACUGUAAGAAUAAGGACCGGCUAACUCCGUGCCAGCAGCCGCGGUAAUACGGAGGGUCCAAGCGUUAUCCGGAAUCAUUGGGUUUAAAGGGUCCGUAGGCGGUUUAAUAAGUCAGUGGUGAAAGCCCAUCGCUCAACGAUGGAACGGCCAUUGAUACUGUUAGACUUGAAUUAUU
rnacentral:rRNA from 1 species